UGGGGAAUAUUGCACAAUGGGCGCAAGCCUGAUGCAGCCAUGCCGCGUGUAUGAAGAAGGCCUUAGGGUUGUAAAGUACUUUCAGCGGGGAGGAAGGUGAUAAGGUUAAUACCCUUGUCAAUUGACGUUACCCGCAGAAGAAGCACCGGCUAACUCCGUGCCAGCAGCCGCGGUAAUACGGAGGGUGCAAGCGUUAAUCGGAAUUACUGGGCGUAAAGCGCACGCAGGCGGUCAAUUAAGUCAGAUGUGAAAGCCCCGAGCUUAACUUGGGAAUUGCAUCUGAAACUGGUUGGCUAGAGUCUUGUAGAGGGGGGUAGAAUUCCAUGUGUAGCGGUGAAACGCGUAGAGAUGUGGAGGAAUACCGGUGGCGAAGGCGGCCCCCUGGACAAAGACUGACGCUCAGGUGCGAAAGCGUGGGGAGCAAACA
rnacentral:rRNA from 1 species